ACACACUGUCAAGUAAGGUCGAUUUCUUAGAGUCCAGGAGACAGGGAGGAGGUGGAGAGGUCUGUGGGCAGAUAAGGGAGAGGGAGGUGGGGGCUGUUGGAAAAUUUCCAAGGCCUUGGGAAAGGUGGGGGUUUUACCAGCGGGGACUGAAGGACUGAAGAGGAAUAGAUUUACUUAUGUCAGUGUUACUCAUGUAUCAGAGGUGCGCAUGUAUCAGUUAAAUAUCAUAAAAUCAUAUAUCAUGUUUUAGUAUCAUCAUAUAACAAUCAUUUUCUUUGCUUCUUUGUUUUAGUAUCAUCAUGAAUAUAUCUCUUUCUUUAAUAUCUAUCAUUCAUUAUAAAAUUUAUCAUGUUGUUUAGACAUAAUCGGUUAUGGAAGAAAGCACUUAGAAAGAUUACAGCACUUGUGGGUGAAAUGAUGUUGACAUACGCUUAUGACAUGUUGUAUUGUUUAUCUUACACUUAUGAUAUGUUGUAUUAUGGUAUUGUUUAUCAUUAUAUGGUGUAUUUUACUUAUUAGUAUAAUUUGUGGAACAAGUAACAACAAUCUGAAGGCGUACGUGCCGGAGAGAACGUGCCUGAGAGUAGGCCUACGUGCCUGAGAGAAUCUUUGCCAUGGCGCGGUGGAAAAAUACCAGGUCAGAGUGACCUGAUGGCCAGCUGCAUGGGUAAGAGAGAGGGCGGGGCUGACAGUGAAAGUUUUAGAUAAAAGGCGCUGUAGGAAGCAGAGAGAUAGAGACAUCGUCCCGACGGGGGCUCCAUGCGGGGCGGCCCUGGGCCCUUUGCGAUCUCCGUACUUUCGGACUUAGAAAACUUAGAAAAUUUAGAAAACUUGGAACAUCCGAUCUCCGUACUUUCGGACUUAGAGAGAUUAGAACAUCCGAUCUCCGUACUUUCGGACUUAGAGAGAUUAGAACAUCCGAUCUCCGGACUUUCGGACUCAGAAAAAUAAGGACAUCCUCUCUCCAACACGCUACAGAUAUGCGUGUCUUAGCCCACCGGGGCAAAGAAGACUACUGGCAGUGGGACCAUUUGAUGAGAAUAUCCUGGCUGUGGGACCAUUUGAUGAGACCGACCCUCCGUGCCCGAGGAGAGAUAGAGCUCCUCUCUCUCUCCCUACUGUCGACACCGGAGAAGCGUAGUGUAGAGAGGUAAGAAUCAGGAAUCGAAAUUAUUAUAGACUAAAUCAGCUUUAUAAACAAACCCAAUUUAUUAGGCACUAUAUUAUUGGAGAGAUAGGGAUUCCCUCUCUUUUCCUCUGUCAACACCGUCGUGGAACACCAGCGUUGCUCACUUCUCGAUGACAGGGAGCGGCCCGUAUCAGAUAGGGGCCAUCAGAGCAACAUUCCAGCGCAGCUCACCCUCCCCAAUCUGAAUCAGUGCGGGGGCCAACGACAAGGGAACAACAGCCUUUCUCUUCACACAGCUGAGGGGAGUGUUGAACAUAGUGCAGAGAGGUGAGAAAACCGGAAUCGAAAUUAUCGUAGACAAACCCACCAAGAUGUGUUCCAGAUGUAUUUUAUGUCACUUAUUUAGAAGUGUCACUGACGGCAUUUUAUUAGUAACUAUAUUAUAUGUAUUAACAUGUUUCUUUUUGAAGGCCUUCACCGCUUGCUGCAAUGUCCCAGAUAUUAAUCCUGCCAAUAAAACUAUAUUCAAACCAUUCCUUUUCAAUCAUUCCAAGGACCUGCUACGGAGGAGUGUAGGUUAGAGCUUCAGUGAACAAACUAACUGUUCUAGUAUAGGCAUCGUGGAUCUAAGAGGUUACCUAGUACAAAGAAAUCAAACGUAUCCCGGGAGUUAGUCAUUCCAAACUCCUAAAACAUCUCAGCAAAUUCACCAAGUGCACGGAUCCCAGAGGAGAGCUAUCAUAACAGACGUGAUCGGCAUGCCACAUUCCUGGCUACGGGUUAUGCCCAGGGGUGGGGCCACCGAGGUAAGCGGGAUAGGCGUCUGAUACAAGGUAGUUAGGGGCUGAGCGAAUCUCCUCACCAACCUGUUACAACCGUUACGGGAUACAGGUUUCACUAGCAUCGCCAUUUAGGGGGUGGUAGAAUUGACGGAUCUGACAACACACACACACUCACCCAUCCACAUACGCACACACACACACACACACACACACACACACACACACACACACACACACACACACACACACACACACACACACACACACACACACACACACAAACAAUAACUAA